AGUGAACGCUGGCGGUAGGCCUAACACAUGCAAGUCGAACGGCAGCACAGUAAGAGCUUGCUCUUACGGGUGGCGAGUGGCGGACGGGUGAGGAAUACAUCGGAAUCUACUUUUUCGUGGGGGAUAACGUAGGGAAACUUACGCUAAUACCGUAUACGACCUACGGGUGAAAGCAGUGGAUCUUCGGACCUUGCGCGAUUGAAUGAGCCGAUGUCGGAUUAGCUAGUUGGCGGGGUAAAGGCCCACCAAGGCGACGAUCCGUAGCUGGUCUGAGAGGAUGGUCCGCCACACUGGAACUGGGACACGGUCCAGACUCCUACGGGAGGCAGCAGUGGGGAAUAUUGGACAAUGGGCGCAAGCCUGAUCCAGCCAUCCCGCGUGGGUGGAGGAGGCCUUCGGGUUGUAAAGCCCUUUUGUUGGGAAAAAAAAGCAGCAGGUUAAUACCACGCUGUUCUGACGGUACCCAAAGAAUAAGCACCGGCUAACUUCGUG
rnacentral:rRNA from 1 species